GAUUUAAUAGAGCCAACCAGACCCUGCUCAUGUGCCCUGGCAAGCACAGCUAUCGAGUGGGCAAGCCCUGACAAUGGGGCAAGAGGGCACAGCAGGGGUAAGGAGGAACCCCAAGGACCAGUGGUACUGCCACCAUCCCACCGCCGAAACCAAGGCCCUCGUGCCCAGGCAUAUACUGGAGGGCUAGACAGUGAGGCCCUGCCCCCCUUUAGGGGUAUUGGUGGAGAUUCCUAAAAGGGAUGGAAAUCUCAGUCUCCAUCUCAACAGAUGGGUCCUCAGAUAGGCAUCUGCAAUUCUGAUGGAUAGCCAUCACCCAGUUUUCUUCCCCAUUGGUUCUCCAAAGGGAAAAGCCAAGCCCCCUCCCUCCAUGAACCUACUCUUCCAUCACAGAUUAGAAAGGCUCCAGGUUGAUCAGGCCGAUAGCCCUGGCAAUCACUCUCUUCCUCAGCCAGAAUGGUGAGUUGAAAACCUGUCAUUCACCAGCAAGAAGAGGAUCCAUGUCAGGCUCAUCUCCCUUCUUCUCUCUCCCUUCCCUUACCUACCCAUCCCUCCAUCUUUCUCAUGGUAUGGAGUGUCUUGUUUCUAUCUUACUUCUACUUCUUGUCCCCUUCUUGAGUUCUAGCCCUUUCUUUUAGGUUGGCAGACACCAGAGGGCAACAUAAUCUCACCUACUAGUCAGUUCUUUCAUUUCACCAGUAGAGGGAAGAGUUUGAGAGAACCUACAAGAACUAGGAGGUGUGUGGAAAUGAUUUUGAAAUAUGGAAUUAGCUAGCGCGAUAGAACUGCUCUCUUAAAGGCAUCUCGUGCCAAGGCAUUCUGUUCCCGUUGGUAAAUAAUCUGUUAUAAAACGGUUGCAAUGCAUAUUAACUCACCAGAGCAUGACACUGGCAAAAUUUCCCUCCAGGCUAUAUUUUGCAAAGAGACAACUUUUCAUGUGAUGUGAGACCUGAGAUUAAACUAACAGAAGUCCUACAUUAUUCAAGGUAACGCUGACACUCCAUCCCUCCCUCACUGCUUAGUCUUUUGAGAUCUGGUUUUUAUUUUGUUUCUGAAAUAAUUGGUAAGGCAUUUAGCCCUGAAUGGCUUGUUUUGAGUACCUGUCAUCAUAGGACUCUAGGCGCUUUGAGGGUGCUUGGAGCUUAGUUGGGCAAGUGAAGCUGAGUCAAUCAGAAGAAUUGAUUACGAACCAAGCAGCAGAGCUCUCGGGGCAAUAAGUGCCCAAGUAGCGCCUGCUAAACUUGCAAGAGCCUGCUUCACCAGGGCCUGCCCAUUCCGCCAUGCAUACUGAGGGAAUCAGGGCAGGUUCCUUUUGAAAACGGUUUGGAAGGAAGGAUUCAGAAGUUAAACUUGUGCCACUGAACUGACCAUUUACCAAAUAAUUACCCUGACCAAGUUAGCACUAAUACCUUUAAAAAGUAGACAACAUGGAACUAAGCAAUCUGCUCAACCAUUGCAAUUUGCUCAAUUGUUUGGAUCUAAUUACCUGGCCUGUGUAUUUUCUGCUUGGUGUCCCCAGCCUUUGAACCAUUUCGAAAGCCAGAGCUUUAUAGAAAGGGUCUUUGAGAACCCCUUUAGAUAGAGUCUGUGAUUCUAUCCUUCUUUAGAUGGAUUUUUUUAUCCGAGUUGCUGAAUUUAUCCAUAUAACUUUGCCUCCAUUUCUUCAUCAACAUCCUUUCUUUGAUUAAUUACCUAAAGCAAGGGUUCUUAUCCUGAGGUCCAGAAGUAGACUUGAGCACUUCCAUGAAUCCCUUGAAACUGUGAGUAAAAUUCUAUGUGUAUGUACAUAAUGGUCCUUCAGGUGAGGGGUGAGGGCCCAUAAAUGUCAUCAGAUUCUCAAAGGGCUCCAUGACCUCCAUCUUGCAACGAUGCAAUCAUGAUGUUCACCAGACCAGAAUUUCCCCAGUCAAUGUGCACGAAUUUGUUCCAGGUGUGUGCUUGAGCCUCUGAUUGCCUCAGCCCUUGAGCGACUGGACAGGGCCAGGCAUGGCUGGAGCUUCCAAGCUGCCCAGGCACUAUAAAAAUAUUAUUUUCUCUGUGUGCCACAGUGGAUAAAAUGUUGGAAGCACUACAGUAAAUUUUCACUUUUAUCACAUCCACCAUCUUUGUACUGUGCAUCUCUUGCUUCAUCUCCAUGGCCUUAAUUAUCCAGAGGGAAGCUUGGCACUGAUUUGGCCACCUGUGGUAUAAUCUGCACUUCAUAUCCUUUACCAGGAAAGCAAGUGGUGUGGUCGUCUCCUCUUCCCGAGAAUGCUCCCUGGCACACACAGCUUGGAAUUUGCUUUGCUGCCCACGUGGUGAUGUUAAAGUUAAUAUUUAGGGGAAAGGAGAAAAUGUUUGCUACAAUCUGACCGCUGCUCACCUCUGAAAAAGAAGUGACAAAAGGCCAGAUGUCAGCUCCAGGCCCCAAUGUGUGUUAAAACGACAUGUAACAGGAUUCACCUUGCGCUAACUGAUGUAGCUCCUGAAGCAGCGUGGAAUCCAAAGGAAGCUCGACGCUUACUGCUUCAAAACACACUUCCUCAUCAGGACCCCACCACCGCCACCUUCUGCAGAACCUGGAUCAUGAGCCACUAAUCAACGCCAACUGUUUGAAGAUGCAGGACAGAAGAAAUUCUGAAGGCUGCCGCUUCCUUAUACCUCCCUGAGAGCCGUCUUUGAGGAUUUAAGGCAAGAGAAUUAUUGAAACACAUUUCACUGAUUUAUUAUUAAUUGUCCCUUGGGUAAGCACAGAAAGUACCAAGCAGAGGAAGGCUGCAUGACUUGUGGUCACUGAAACACUUUCAAGUGUCUGCCCAGAUCCUGAAUUUCUGCCAUGAACAGGGGAACCAAAAUGAGGAAACACAAGUUAUAGAGAUUAGACUCCAGGUGAAGAGGAAGGGGGUGUAGGAAGGAGGUGUGGGGUACAGCUUGCUGAGUAGUGGGAGCAGAGACCAGGCAACUGAGGCAGCUGGCAGAGGAGGGAGGUGGAGGCUUGCUUUGGGAGCGAAGCCAGAGUCUACUGUCAGGGUGUGGGAUCCAGAAAAAUCCCACCGGUUAACAUGAAUAAAUGCCCACCAGCAGAAGGACAAAUACUGCUUCUGGUCCAAGAAACAGAGGCCUGAAUGGCCAAGGAAAGUAGAUUCUUAUCUUCGGGCAAGGGCCCAGCGACACACCAGCUCAGAAACAUGUCCCAAAGGAAGGGAGCAUCGUUACUGCCAGCUGAGCAUCUCCGAACCCCCAUCCAUGGAGGAAACAAGACGUGGGAUGAGAAAUAGGUGCACGUGCGCACAAACGCACACACAAGAAAAUAAAAGUGUUAGCCUGCUGCCUGAUCACACCCAAAUAAGGCAGACGUGCCCCAACCAGAUGUACCAGGCCUCUUCCAGAGAACUCAUUUGUUGUGGGCUGAUUUCUACUUCCUGGUGCAAUUUACUUGGGAAAAGGGGCCUUUCAUUGUUGAUAUUUUGUGAACUGGCCGGAACCAGAUAGACAAUAAUGACUUUACAAAUCUGAUUUUGCAGAAUCUGAAAAACACCCCUUGACUGUCGGUCCUCAGUACUUCCUUUCUGCUCACCCAGAGUCUUCUAUCUUUUAUUGAUUAGCACAGGCAUCGCAUGAGCCCCUUCUUAGGGCAAGGGACUAAAUCCAACAAGAGGUACCAUGUUGUUUUCAUUCCGCAAGGAUUUCACAGAUCUGAGAUCCACCUGCUGCGCAGGGGUACUGCGGAAAUGGGUCACUGGUGUGCCACGACCCUGGGCAUGUCCUCAGCCGUCGUCAGGUCAGUCAGGAUGCAGCCUGGGACACAGGAGUGCACUUCAGAUGGUCUCCCUUGCUGAGCUGUGAGCUCCCAGCGCUCAGAUGGAAUCUUCCUCUUCUUGGCAUGGACUUGAGCAACCCGCCCUGCUCCUGUCCUGCAGCCACAUCUACAUCACACGUUCAGAAGACGAGGCUGAGAGGGACUCCGUAUUGUCAAGGCAAGUGUGGGAUGCAGCACGCAGACCAACUUCGGAAUCCAGGAAAUACCCUUGACCGUGUCCAAGUGAGGCUCAUGUCCCCUGAGGAUGGCACUAAACGCAACAGAGGUAACGGGGCCUCCGAAGGAAGGACUUGUGGCCUUAAAGUACCCGGUCCCCUGGUACAGGAGGUGCCAGGCUGCCAGCAGUUACUUAGGAUGGGCUUUGCUUGAUAUAUGAGAGUGAAAACCAGGAAAUGCGGCCCAGUUUCUCUUUUGAAAUCCCUCCCUUGGUUAGAUUUGAAUCUCUUGUCUGUAUGCUUUGUUUCAAACUAAAUAUCAAAAGUCUCUCGCUUCUGUUAUCUCCCUGACAGUUCUUCAAUAUACUGUAUUAAAAACUCUCCGGGGACCAAAAAAAUGCACUUUCAAGUGGUGUUUAGAAACUUGCCACCCCUUGCCUUUCUUCAUUUCUGAAUCUCUUGGAUGCUUCAUAAACAAAGGAGAAAAGUGCUGCUUCUGUGAUAAAUACGUACACAGGAUUCCUCUGUCUUACAGAGAAAACAGUACAGACCCAGCUGUUUCCCAAUAGUCAUAGGACUCAUACCUAAUGCCGACAGACUACCAAGCGUAUCUGCACAAACUCUAUCACACACAGCACAUGGAAUCUCCAGGUGUGGCCGUGAAAGAAAACGGCAUGUUCUCCUUGUCAAAAAUUGCCCUCUCCUUGCCAGCCCCCUGCACCAAACUAACAACCACAGGACCUGAAUUUAACAGGUGAUGUUUCCCUUUGUUCUUCUGGAUGUUAUGUAUACUCAGGAGUAGCUCUCUCUGGGUUGUUCAAACACUUCAUUUAUUUAUUUAGUAUUUACUGAGUAUCUACUAUGUACCCCACAUAGUCAUGGAUUAAAGAGAUUCUUGCUUAGCUUCUGUAUUAGGAUUUCUCAACCUUGGUACUGUUGCCAUUUUGAGCCAGAGAAUUCUUUGUCAUGAGGCUGUUCCAUGCCUGGUAGGAUGUUUAGCAGCAUCCCUGGCCUCUACACACAAGAUACCGGCAGCACCUCCACCCCUAGUCGUGACAACCAAAAAUAUCCCCAGAAGUCAGUGAAAAGAUUUAGGGGAGGAGAGAGGGACGAAAAGGUAGAGCACAGAGGAUUUCUAGAGCAGUGAAACUAUCCUGAAUGAUACCAUAAUGGUGGAUACGUGUCAUUAUACAAUUGUCAAAAUCCAUAGAAUGUACAAUACCAAGAGUGAGCCCUAAAGUAAGUCUCCUGCCCUGGGGACUUGGGGUGAUAAUGAUGUGCCAGUGUUGGUUCGUUAGUUAUAACAAAUACGCCAGCCAGUCCCGUGUAGGCUGUUGAUAGUGGGGGCGGGCAGAGGGUAAUAGGAGAACCCUCAGUACCUUCCCCUCAACUGUGCUGUGAGCCUAAAACUUCUCUGAAAAAUAAAGUCUAUUAAAUUUUUUUUAUUUUAGGUGAAAAAAUGUUUUCAAGCAUUGCCAAUUGUCCCUGGAGGACAAAUUAUUUUUCAUCCUGUUAUAGACAUUAUCCUGCUCACAACAAUACAUUUUUUUAAAUUGUGGUAAAAUAUACACAUUAUAAAUUUUACCAUUUUAACCAUU